GCCUGGGCGGCUCAGUCAGUUGAGUGUCUGAUUUCAGCUCAGGUCAUGAUCUCACAGUUUGUGGGUUCAAGCCCCGCACUGGGCU
rnacentral:tRNA from 1 species